rnacentral:lncRNA from 1 species
UAUUAAACGAAUUAAAUAGAUUAGCUGUCUGAAAUUUGAAUCUGACCCGAUUAUUAAACAGAUUAAACAGGUUAAUCCAUUUACGAUCCAAACCCGUUUAAUCCAAACUCAAACUUGUUUAAAGCGGGUUGAAUGCAAGCUGGAUUGAUGAGUCAGAUCGAUUUUUACCACCCCUAAUACCAGUUGGUCCACUCUAUUCUAUUUUAAUUAGCUUUUCUUUAUCUUCACCCUAUCACCCU